rnacentral:rRNA from 1 species
GUGUCAGCCGCCGCGGUAAUACGGAGGGAGCAAGCGUUACUCGGAAUUAUUGGGCGUAAAGGGCGCGUAGGCGAUUUGGCAAGUCUUGUGUGAAAGCCCACAGCUUAACUGUGGAAGUGCACAAGAUACUGCUGAAUUUGAGUUCAGGAGAGGAAGGCAGAAUUCCUGGUGUAGCGGUGAAAUGCGUAGAUAUCAGGAGGAAUACCAGUGGCGAAGGCGGCCUUCUGGACUGACACUGACGCUGAGGCGCGAAAGCUAGGGGAGCAAACGGGAUUAGAAACCCUCGUAGUCC